rnacentral:rRNA from 1 species
CCCUUUAGUACGGAAUAGCCAUUGGAAACGAUGAUUAAUACCGUAUACGCCCCAAGGGGGAAAGAUUUAUCGCUAAAGGAUCGGCCCGCGUUAGAUUAGGUAGUUGGUAGGGUAAUGGCCUACCAAGCCGACGAUCUAUAGCUGGUUUGAGAGGAUGAUCAGCAACACUGGGACUGAGACACGGCCCAGACUUCUACGGAAGGCAGCAGUAGGGAAUCUUGGACAAUGGGCGAAAGCCUGAUCCAGCCAUGCCGCGUGAGUGAUGAAGGCCCUAGGGUUGUAAAGCUCUUUCGCCAGGGAAGAUAAUGACGGUACCUGGUAAAGAAACCCCGGCUAACUCCGUGCCAGCAGCCGCGGUAAUACGGAGGGGGUCAGCGUUGUUCGGAAUUACUGGGCGUAAAGCGCACGUAGGCGGAUUAAUAAGUCAGGGGUGAAAUCCCGAGGCUCAACCUCGGAACUGCCUUUGAUACUGUUAAUCUUGAGUUCGAGAGAGGUGAGUGGAAUUCCGAGUGUAGAGGUGAAAUUCGUAGAUAUUCGGAGGAACACCAGUGGCGAAGGCGGCUCACUGGCUCGAUACUGACGCUGAGGUGCGAAAGCGUGGGGAGCAAACAGGAUUAGAUA